UCAGUUUUGUUAGCUAUAAAAACAAAAAUACCAGGCUCCUGCUAUGUAGUAGGAGGGGGCUGAGGGGAAAUUCUACUACAGUGAUGAAGAUCAUAUGACUCACAUCACAUGAAAAUCAUAUGAGUUACAGAGGCUAUUAUAGCAGUCUGGCACUUGUUGACUAGUGAGAGAGCUCAUGAAUAGAGUCUAAUGAUGAGCUUUCUUGGCAUACUGCUACUUUUGAUUACUUUGCUACUUGUUUAUUGUUGCUAUCGUUUGUAUCAUGCGUAUGGUGUCCUUAAGAGGCUGGGAAUCCCUCAUCCUCCCGUUACGCCUUUAAUGGGAAAUGGAAUAGAACUUUUAAAAAUGUCUUCAACUG